UCAAAUUGAAACACAGGAUUGUGGAGAAUUUAGCAAUGUUAUAUUAAGUGUUACAGAUUCAAAUUCUUCAAAUAACAUAGAAGAAACUGCCAGUAAUUUAUCAUUGUUGUUUGGUCAGUAUGAAAAAUGUCUGCGUACUGUGGAUAUUUAUAUUAAGGAAUAUUCACCUCAACUGAGAGACAAAAUUAUUGAAGAAAUAUCACACUGGGUAAAGACUGCAAAAAAUAUGAGAACAGUAUAUGAAGAUCAUGUACAUCUGAUUGGGCCAUCGGAUUCCAUCUCAGUGUUUAUGCAACACUGGAAAAAAACGGAAAUCAUCCAUAAAAGGGCAAACCAAAAAAUAAGAGUAGAAAAAGUGAAAGAAAAUGUCCCCCUCAGUGAGAUUGGUAGAUUAACCCAAGAGAAGAGUGUAAAAAUGGAAAAAGAAAAGGAAAUAUCUCAGAGUGAAACGCGUGGGGCAACCCAAAAGAGGGUGGAAAGAUUAAAGGAAAAGGAAAAAGUUCCUCAAAGUGAAAUGAGUGGGAUACGGCAUGAAGAGUGCAGAAAAAGUGAAAGAAAAGGAGAGUGAAAUGCGUCGGUUAAACAAAGCAAGUAGUGUAGAAACAGUGACCAUGGAUGAUCAUCAUGCAUCCCUUGUACUCAGAACUUCCUCAUAUUCCCUCAAUCACUGAGUGUCCACGAAACAAAGAGUCCAUACACCCGACACGUCUGAGUCACGGAGAAGAAGUGCAGCAAAUGGGUCAACAAACAAAAUGAUGACACCAAGCAGGAAACUGAACCCCAGCCCUACACGGUCUAACCAAAAC